rnacentral:rRNA from 1 species
GGAUAGCGGAGAAAUUCCAAUCGAACUCGGAGAUAGCUGGUUCUCCUCGAAAUAGUUUUAGGACUAGCCUUGUUUAGUAGUAUGUGGGGGUAGAGCACUGAAGGAGCUAGGGGCCAAACCAGGUUACCGAACUCUAUCAAACUCCGAAUACCAUAUAUGUAAGAACAGGAGUCAGACUGCGGGAGCUAAGUUCCGUGGUCAAAAGGGAAAGAGCCCAGAUCGUCAAUUAAGGUCCCCAAGAUAUAGUUAAGUGGAAAACGAUGUGAUUUUGCGUAAACAACCAGGAUGUUGGCUUAGAAGCAGCCAUUCAUUUAAAGAGUGCGUAAUAGCUCACUGGUCGAGUGAAGUUGCGCGGAAAAUUACCGGGGCUAAACUAUACACCGAAAUUGCGGAUUUGCAUAGAAAUAUGUAAGUGGUAGAGGAGCAUUCUAUAGUAGGACGAAGCAUAAUCGAAAGGAUAUGUGGACGAGAUAGAAGAGAGAAUGCCGGAAUAAGUAGCGAAAGCAUGGUGAGAAUCCAUGCCAUCGAAAGUCUAAGGUUUCCUGGGGAAGGUUCGUCCGCCCAGGGUAAGUCGGGACCUAAGGAGAGGCCGAAAGGCGUAUCCGAUGGACAGCAGGUUGAGAUUCCUGCACCACUGAUAUACUUAAAAGAUGCAAGGGACACAGAAGUGGAAGGAAAGCGAGGAAGAGGAAAAACUCGUAUCGAAAGAUAUAGUGAAAAAUAAGUAACGAAUUUCCAAGAAGCACACUGGCGAGAAAAGCUUGUAGAUAUUGUAUAUAAGUGCCCGUACCGCAAACCGACACAGGUAGAUGAGGAGAGGAUCCUAAGAUGAGCGAGAGAAGCAUUGUUAAGGAACUCGGCAAACCAACCCCGUAACUUAGGGAGAAGGGGUGCCUAUGUAAAAAUAGGCCGCAGAGAAGAGGCCCAAGCAACUGUUUAACAAAAACACAGGUUUCUGCUAAAUCGAAAGAUGAAGUAUAGGAGCUGACGCCUGCCCAGUGCUGGAAGGUUAAGGGGAAAUGUUAGGAGCAAUCCGAAGCAUAGAACUGAAGCCCCAGUGAACGGCGGCCGUAACUAUAACGGUCCUAAGGUAGCGAAAUUCCUUGUCAGGUAAGUUCUGACCCGCACGAAAGGUGUAAUGAUUUGGGAGCUGUCUCGACAAUGUACUCGGCGAAAUUGUAGUACUAGUGAAGAUGCUAGUUACCUGCGACAAGACAGAAAGACCCCAUGGAGCUUUACUGCAGCUUGAUACUGGGUUUCGGUAAUUUAUGUACAGGAUAGGUGGGAUGCUAAGAAGUAUGUGCGCCAGCGCAUAUGGAGCAGACGUUGGGAUACCACCCUUAAAUUACUGGAAUUCUAACUAUAAGUCCUAAGCGGGCUUGAGGACAAUGUCAGGCGGGCAGUUUGACUGGGGCGGUCGCCUCCUAAAGAGUAACGGAGGCGCGCAAAGGUUUCCUCAGCGCGGACAGAAAUCGCGCGAAAGAGUGCAAAGGCAGAAGGAAGCUUAACUGAGAGACAGACAUGUCGACCAGAUACGAAAGUAGGUCUUAGUGAUCCGGUGGUUGUAAGUGGAAAUGC